rfam:Triticum urartu cultivar G1812 contig1159620, whole genome shotgun sequence.
UGGCCUAGGGGGCCGACAAGCUUACCGAAGUCAGCCAAACUCCGAAUGCCGGUGAGUGAGAGCGCGGCAGUGAGACUGCGGGGGAUAAGCUUCGUGGUCGAGAGGGAAACAGCCCAGAUCACCGGCUAAGGCCCCUAAGCGUGCGCUAAGUGGGAAAGGAUGUGGGAUCGCCCGGACAACCAGGAGGUUGGCUUAGAAGCAGCCACCCUUGAAAGAGCGCGUAAUAGCUCACUGGUCAAGUGGUCCUGCGCCGACAAUGUAGCGGGGCUCAAGCGCACCGCCGAAGCCGUGGCAAUGACAUCUUGUGGUGUUGUUGGGUAGGGGAGCGUCCUGCAUCUGGUGAAGCCCGGGAGUGAUUUACGGGUGGAGGGUGUGGGAGUGAGAAUGCAGGCAUGAGUAGCGAAUGCAGAGUGAGAAUCUCUGCCGCCGGAUGACCAAGGGUUCCUGGGCCAGGUUGUUCCGCCCAGGGUGAGCCGGGACCUAAGGCGAGGCCGUCAGGCGUAGUCGAUGGACAACGGGUUGAUAUUCCCGUGCUCGUGAUAGUGCGUCCAUGCCGAGGCUGGUGAUGCUAACCAUCCGAACCCACCUUCGCUCCUUCGGGAGUGUUGUUUGUGGGGGAGCGUGGGAUCCGAUCUGGUAGUAGGCAAGUGAUGGGGUGACGCAGGAGGGUAGCUCCGCCACGCGGUGGUUGUCGUGGUGUAAGCCUGUAGCCCGAGUCCUAGGUAAAUCCGGGGCUCGUCAAGGGUGAGAGGUGAUGCGUAGCCGAUUGAGGCGAAGAGGGUGAUCCCAUGCUGUCGAGAAAAGCCUCUAGCGAGUGCUGUUGCGGCCCGUACCCCAAACCGACACAGGUGGUCAGGUAGAGAAUACCGAGGCGAUCGAGCGAACUGUGGUUAAGGAAUUCGGCAAAAUACCUCCGUAACUUCGGGAGAAGGAGGGCCGGUUGUCUUGAGGCUCCUUGCGGGCUAGGGACGGCCGGUCGCAGAGACCAGGCCCAAGCGACUGUUUACUAAAAACACAGGUCCGUGCGAAGUCGCAAGACGAUGUAUACGGACUGACGCCUGCCCGGUGCUGGAACGUUAAGAGGACCUGUUAGCUCUUCGGGGCGAAGCGGAGAAUUUAAGCGCCAGUAAACGGCGGUGGUAACUAUAACCAUCCUAAGGUAGCGAAAUUCCUUGUCGGGUAAGUUCCGACCUGCACGAAUGGCGUAACGACUUGGGCGCUGUCUCGACCACAGACUCGGCGAAAUUGCACUACGAGUAAAGAUGCUCGUUACGCGCGGCAGGACGGAAAGACCCCGGGACCUUUACUAUAGCUUGGUAUUGAUGCUCGGUUCGGCUUGUGUAGGAUAGGUGGGAGACUGUGAAAUCGCCACGCCAGUGGUGGUGGAGUCGUUGUUGAAAUACCACUCUGGUCGAAUUGGGUGUCUUAACCUCGGGCCAUGAUCUGGUUCAGGGACAGUGCCUGGUGGGUAGUUUAACUGGGGCGGUUGCCUCCCAAAGAGUAACGGAGGCGCCCAAAGGUUCCCUCAGCCUGGUUGGCAAUCAGGUGUUGAGUGUAAGUGCACAAGGGAGCUUGACUGUGAGACUGACGGGUCGAGCAGGGACGAAAGUCGGGACUAGUGAUCCGGCACCACCUUGUGGAAGGGGUGUCGCUCAACGGAUAAAAGGUACCCCGGGGAUAACAGGCUGAUCUUGCCCAAGAGUCCAUAUCGACGGCAUGGUUUGGCACCUCGAUGUCGGCUCGUCGCAUCCUGGGGCUGGAGUAGGUCCCAAGGGUUGGGCUGUUCGCCCAUUAAAGCGGUACGCGAGCUGGGUUUAGAACGUCGUGAGACAGUUCGGUCCCUAUCCGCUGCGCGCGUAGGAAAUUUGAGAGGAUCUGACCCUAGUACGAGAGGACCGGGUUGGACGAACCUCUGGUGUGUCAGUUGUUCCGCCAGGAGCACCGCUGAUUAGCUACGUUCGGGAUGGAUAACCGCUGAAAGCAUCUAAGCGGGAAGCCGGCCUCAAGAUGAGACUUCCAUACCCCUUGUGGGUGAGAGGCUCCCAGCCAGACUACUGGGUUGAUAGGCCGGAUGUGGAAGCGCAGUAAUGCGUGAAGCUGACCGGUACUAAUAAGCCGAUGACUUGAUAAC